rnacentral:rRNA from 1 species
GCGGAAAGGCUCCUUCGGGGGUGCUCGAGCGGCGAACGGGUGAGUAACACGUGAGUGACCUGCCCUCAGCUUUGGGAUAACCCUCGGAAACGGGGGCUAAUACCGGAUAGGACCUUCUGGUGCAUGCCGGGGGGUGGAAAGCCUUUGGGCGGCUGGGGAUGGGCUCGCGGCCUAUCAGCUUGUUGGUGGGGUAAUGGCCUACCAAGGCGUUGACGGGUAGCCGGCCUGAGAGGGUGUCCGGCCACACUGGGACUGAGACACGGCCCAGACUCCUACGGGAGGCAGCAGUGGGGAAUAUUGCGCAAUGGGCGGAAGCCUGACGCAGCGACGCCGCGUGGGGGAUGAAGGCCUUCGGGUUGUAAACCCCUUUCGACCCUGACGAAGUUGCCUGGUUUUCCGGGUGGUGACGGUAGGGGUGGAAGAAGCGCCGGCUAACUACGUGCCAGCAGCCGCGGUAAGACGUAGGGCGCAAGCGUUGUCCGGAUUUAUUGGGCGUAAAG